rnacentral:rRNA from 1 species
UACGAAGGGUGCAAACGUUGCUCGGAAUUAUUGGGCGUAAAGCGCACGUAGGCGGCUUUGCAAGUCCCAUGUGAAAUCCCACGGCUCAACCGUGGAAGUGCAUGGGAAACUGCAGAGCUUGAGUACUUAAGAGGAUCGCGGAAUUCCCGGUGUAGAGGUGAAAUUCGUAGAUAUCGGGAGGAACACCAGUGGCGAAGGCGGCACUCUGGGCCGGUACUGACGCUGAGGAGCGAAAGCGUGGGGAGCAAACAGGG